CGACGUUGGACGAGCCUGCGAACCAGGGGUCGAGGAUGAAGACGCACCUGAAGGUCGUGGCCCCUUUGAGGCCUUCGAGGAGGCUGGGGUUGUCGUGCAGACGCAGUCCCUUGCGGAACCAAUGCACCGUGUGCUUGUCUGCCUGCGGGGACACUCUGCUCGCUUCGCUCAUCCUUCGGCGGUGCUAGUCAUUUUUUUUUGUCUUCUGCCAAAUCCUUCGGCCGCCCAAUAAUAUAAAUUUCUUUGAUUCCGACGCCUCAAGUUAGGUUCCGUGCGCUUCGGCCGACCAGUUCGUCUCGCCUGUGCCUUGCUGAGGCCCACACCGCAGGCAACGUGACCCGCGCUCCGCUGACGUCGCGCCCGUCUCGAUUGGUCCAGCCUGGUCACAUGGUCGCGGCAGUCACGUUGCGAGGAGCAAGACGCGUGCACCCGUCCGCUCACGUGUCCGUCGCCCUACCACACGCCGAUCGAUUCAAGUAGUGAAUUCAUCCGCCACCGCAGGCUUCCUCCCUCCGACACCCCUUUUAUUUUUCGCAAUUUUUUUCCCUCAAAUUUUUGGUAAUUGAUAAAAGAGAGCAGUUAUUAAACGCAGACAACGGACACGCGCCGCUUUUGGGUGCGUUUUCGCACUUUAUUCGAAGCUAAUCGGCGGAACAGGGAAAUGACGCAAAUUAUCAUUUUGCCACAUUCGGGAAUGGAAUUUAUUUCGCAUUGUGAAUGUACGUGUGAAUAAAUGAGCCAGAAAUUCACGUGGCCAAUGUUUUGUCCUAAAUUGAUUUGCAAAAUCGUAAAUAUUGCGUGAAAAUCUACUAUAACGUUUUUUUUUUAAUUUCAUUCGAUUUUCAAUUAGUACAUAGAACAACAAAAUUUUAUUAGAUUCGAUCAAUAAUCAUUUUUAUAAAUAUAUUAAUAAAUUUAUUUUAAAUCUUAAGAUGUGCUUUAAAUUUAUGUUAUUUUGUUUCAAAUAGGAAUUUUUUUCCAAUAAUCACUGAACUAGAGGGCAAUGACAAUGACAAAAUAAUAACAAUAGCAACAAUAGUAAUAAUAGGCAACCUGUCAAUGUCAAGCGAGGGUAGGCAUACUGCUUUGCAUUCUAGUCAUGCUUGUUGCAUAUAUAAAUACGAGUCAUUCCAUUUCCGUUACCGGCAAGACUUUCAUAAGAAUUUAGAUGCGAUAAAUUUUUAUGUACGUCAAGCUUGGAUUAUCUACAAUUUUGAUGGAUUUUUUUCAUCUCAGGCAUCUUAUUCAUUAAUAAUGGAAUCCUAUCUGGAGGAUCCCUUCCUAUCGACAGUGAAUAAGAGAUUAGAAAUUCCGUUCAUAAAUUGAAUUGAAGCGUGUCCGUUUUUAUAUAAGUGCUAACCAAUGAAUUUUAUUCAUCGGAGUAUGUGCGUCAUCCUCAUAUGAUUUUAAGUGAGCUUCUUGACAGUCAGUAGCUCUCUUGGAAACAUUAUAUUUGAAAGUUAAAUCUGCGCCGAUCAAGCCACUGCUGCAUGAAUAAUAAUGAAUGGGCGAAUAAAUGAAUCCUUAGUAUGGUGACGCUUUAUUGACCUGCGACUUGUUGAAUUAGUUAAAAUAAAUCUUGGAAUUUCUAGUUAUGGAUGUGUAUUGAUUAUAUUCUUUUGAAUUUUUUUCUGGGAAUUUGCAAAAUAAAAUCACUAGAUAUCGCUCUAUUAAAAAGGGCGGAACGGCGGAAGGGAAAAUAGAGGUGGCGAAUGAAAUUUGUUGACAAGAUGAAUCUCAACAUUUUUCUUACAAAAAUAUUUUACUGAUUAAAAAAAUAGAAGAUAAUAUUUCUAAAUAGGACAAUAGGAGAUUAUUCUUCUUUACUGCGAAAGUGACACAAUUAAACCUUGUUGGCUCAUUUUCUUUUAUAUUAUUUUGACGAAGUUAUUCAAAUAUAAAAUUGGUUGAUUUUUAUCAAAUCUUGAAAACUUAUUGAUUUGUUCGUCUCCAUUUAGUAUUAGGGCGUUAGAAAUGUUGAAUUGUCACAGAAAACUGGUUAUUCAUUUCCUAACGUGAGUUCAUGCAGUUGACAUAAGCAUAAAUGUUAAUUUCCAUUGACGCCGGCACCGGAGCGCGUCAUCCAGCAUAUAUUAUCACUUUUAAUUAAUAAAAAAAUCAUAUAUUUAUAACACAAAUAGAUGUCAAUAUUGCUCUAGCGGAUGGUGUGGAAUAAUUAUUUUAUUCCUCUCUUAAUUUGUUUGUUUUGACUGUGGCUGUGUCAUCGGAGAACUUCAUUGUUUUUUUUUAUUAUUAUUAUUCAAUUAAUUUUCGGCUUACAAUUAAAUUCAUUUUUUAAGGGCUUUCUUUUUAAUUAUUUUUUUUUUAAUUUCUGGCAAUUGUUUUAAGUUGAAUUCUUACAAAUAAAUCUUGCAUUUAUUUUAAAUUUAAAGUAGCUUUAAAUUUACAAAUAAUUAGUAUAAAUUCAAUUGGAAUUAGCUUGUAAAAUUCAUGGGAUUCUAUUUCGAUACAAGGGAAUUUAUAAAGGCAUUUUAGAAUUCAACUGCAGAUUCACAGAACUUUCUAGAUGCAUCUAGAAAGUUCUCAAUGUAAAUCAAAUGGGUGGGUGGGUUUUGCACGACCCUCCCAGGGCUGCUACCCGCGCUAUAAAAGGCGCUCCGUCCGCUGGCUCGAUGCAGAAGGCUGACAGACCUCAGAGAAAUCCGAGGACACCUGGACUUCCAGUGCAGUUUCGGACACCCGUCCGAACCCUUCGCACUCGUCCGAGCCGUCCCAAGGCCCCGACCGCUGUCUCGUCCCGACGCUGUCUCGUCCGAGGACAGCCGGAAGGCCGACCGCGUCCCGAGCCCCUCGAGCGGCACGCCUGUGUCCAUCGUACUGUCCGGGGUGUGGCCGAGCCGUCCGAAGCCGUACGGAGCAGUUUUGCCAGCUCCUUCCUGUCCGAGGAAUCGGGCGCCGACGUGGCACGUCGCCAGCGAGCGCUCGGACGAAGGCGUCCGAACGUCCGCCGCCAGAGACCCGCACGCCGUGGGCCCCGGCCGCGCCGAGAGCCGCCGCCGACCUGCAGGGAGCCGUCCGGGUUCCCAGCAAGGACGUUUCCAGGGCAGCCAGCCGGCCUACCCAGGGAACACCGCUCCCAUUUGUUUAUUUUCCAAGAGACAUUAUACGGACAAUUUCGAGCCAGUGAAUUUACCCUAUCCAGCCAGAAUUGUUGUGAAUACAAUAAAGCCCGUGUGUAAGCCAACUUACAUUGUUUUAAACAAUUACAAAUUAAUCAUAAUAAUUUACACAAUAGAAAUUACUGAACAAUUACCCAUUAAUAAUUUAUUAAGCAAUUAAAUAAUCAGUCAGUAUAAUCAUAUGCAAACCCCUUACUUGCAACUUCUUAUUAUCAUUUUGGUUUGCAAUAAACUAAAUUUGUAAUACCAAUUGGCGAUCCUGGCACUCCUGGGGAUUAUACUGACA